UUUGCAGUCAGAGCUGUAAACCUUACAGGCUUUUUCUUUGCUUAUCUUUCUACUUUUGGGCCCUUUUCCCCACUUUCUUUCUGGAUUCAUUUUUAAUAUAUGUGAAAUUCUGUCAACUGCUGGAUUUUCACGUCGUUGUUCAGGAAGCAUUCAUGAAUUGACAUGGGUCAACAUACUUUUCAUUACCAGGCAAAAGGGAAAAGCCACAACACUGCACUUCAUCAGGGAGAUUUGGAGUCCAAGGUUUCUGAAAUCAGUGGAGGCUGCUUGAGAACAGAGCCUGAGUAUCAAGUGAUCUGGCAUUCAUGAAAGAAAGGAAGAAGAAUCUUCCUUGCGCACAUGAAUCCUUUAGUGACUCCUUGAUCUGAUAUUC
rnacentral:lncRNA from 1 species